GCAGCUGCAAUGUAGAUGAUCGGUUCGUGUCUUUAUCGAUGCUUCUUUUUUCUGAAAAAAGGUUUCACUGGAGUCAGCCGCCAGGCCUUACGCCAUCACCUCGCGCUGAUAAUAACCACCACCCGGGACCGAUUCACAUCGACACUCAUAUCCCUCCGUGUGUGGGUGUACCCCGAUAUUUCUUUCUUUUUGCUUCAAAAUCCUUCACGGUUGUCUUCAUGAAGCGGCCCGGUCUGUCGAGGUUUUCAUAUCUGUUGUAUGCAUGCAAGUCCCCCCCCCCUCCGAAUAAGCUACAGCUUUUCAGUGAAGACAGGAGCUGGUCUUUUUAGCUGAACUGUGUUUUCAGGACAUGAAGCUCUGCUGUACGUAACGCUUUCGUCCUCAGUGCUAGUCACCCUAGAAUCACACAAAUCCGCUUCAGGUCACAGCGAUGGCGUUCCGCGCUAGAAAGUUCUUCCUUCCGUUCCUCUUGCUGCACUUGUUGGUGUGGCCGGUUCGUCCAGUGCAUCCGGCGCACACCAUUAGUGGGCCUGUCAAGACAAUCGUAGUUCUAGUGAUGGAGAAUCGGUCGUUCGAUCAUAUGCUUGGGUACUUGAAUCGGCGGAACCCUAACAUUGACGGGCUGAGUGGAGCGGAGUUCAAUGUCCUGAAUGAUGGCCAGACAGGGCGACGCACGCUGUACGUGUCCGACACGGCGGAGUUUGUGGAUCCAGACCCUGGACAUUCGUACCAAGCAAUCGAGGAGCAAGUCUUUGGUCCCGAGAGGAAAUUCGCUGACCCUCCGCCGAUGUCUGGGUUUGCCACAAAUGCUGAGUCAAAGCUCCCUGGAAUGUCGAAGAAUGUGAUGCGAGCGUUUCGUCCAGAGGUGGUGCCCGUGACCACCGCCCUGGCCAUGGAGUUUGCGGUUUUCGAUCGGUGGUUUGCCUCGGUCCCGUCUUCGACGCAACCCAACCGGUUGUUCGUGCAUUCUGCGACCUCCCACGGUCUGAUUAGCAACAACGAGGACAUUCUCUCAGCGGGACUUCCUCAGCGCACCAUCAUGGAAGACAUAGCUGACGCGGGCCUCACUUUCGGUGUUUACUACCAAAACCUCCCGACGCUGCUCUUCUAUAACAACAUGCGCCUGGCGAAAUUCUCGGCAAAUUUCAUCGACUAUGAGCCUCACUUCAAGGCUGAUGCCGCCGCGGGGAAGUUGCCAAACUAUGUAGUGAUUGAGCAGCGGUACUUCGACGUGGGGAACAGUCCUGCCAACGAUGACCAUCCUUCGCAUGACGUCUCUCAAGGGCAAAUGCUGCUCAAGGAAGUUUAUGAGACGCUUCGAGCAAGUCCUCAGUGGGAAGAGAUGCUGCUUGUGAUUACUUAUGACGAGCAUGGCGGGUUUUACGACCAUGUGCCGACGCCUGUGACGGGAGUUCCGAGCCCUGAUGGAAUCGAGGGCGUGGCAGGGAUAUACAACUUCACUUUCGAUCGAUUGGGAGUCCGAGUCCCGACGAUUGCCAUCUCGCCAUGGAUCCAGAAAGGCUUCGUGGAGCACAAAGCAAAAGGACCCACGGCGCCCUUCUCUCAGUACGAGCACUCGUCGAUUCCUGCAACUGUUAGAAAGCUGUUCAAUUUACCUUCCUCCCACUUGACGGCACGAGAGGCGUGGGCUGGCACUUUCGAGCAUUUAGUGACGCAGCAAACAAUGCCAAGGAAGGAUACUCCCGCAACGCUAGCAAGUCCACCAUACUCGUUACGCCACACAGCAGUGAACGAAGCAGCUCCCCUCACAGAAUUUCAAUCCGAGCUUGUUCUCUUAGCUGCAUCCCUAAACGGAGGUCAGAUGAUGAAAGCUGCCGGUGAGCGAAUGACGGUGGCUGAAGCCAACUUCUUCGUCAAAUCAUCUGUUGCUCGGUUUUUGAAUGCGGGGCGGGCUCAUUUGAGAGCUGGUGGCGACCCAAAUGCGGUGAUAAACGUGCAAGGUCUUGAGUACGAGCUCAUGCAUGGUUGAGUGAGCAUGAUUUCGGUAAUCAACCUGGAGUUUUUGGGAAGAGGUUUCUAUGAACAAUGCCGAACUUUGCAAUGCAUUGUUCAUUGAAACCUUCGUAAGCACAAUGGGACGCAACUUGUAUGUGGUGUUGAUAGCAACCAUGGAUUGUCUCCCUUUUGUCGUGUAGGAUCUUGCCAAUGAAAGACCUCAGCGACACUCUGGAUCCUGAAAACCUUUUCGGAUGGAGGAGACAUUAAGGACUCGAUUCUUUCUUAGAGUUGGGUGUCCGCCAACAACUCACACUAUGGUGUUGGUUUGGGCAUGGGAGGUCUGUGCAAAAACAAGCUUAUGAAUUUUCAUCACCUAAUAAAAAUAAAAAUAAAAAUUGUCUUGUA